rnacentral:rRNA from 1 species
UAGGUGGCCAAUUAAGUCAAAUGUGAAAUCCCCGAGCUUAACUUGGGAAUUGCAUUCGAUACUGGUUGGCUAGAGUAUGGGAGAGGAUGGUAGAAUUCCAGGUGUAGCGGUGAAAUGCGUAGAGAUCUGGAGGAAUACCGAUGGCGAAGGCAGCCAUCUGGCCUAAUACUGACACUGAGGUGCGAAAGCAUGGGGAGCAAACAGGAUUAGAUACCCUGGUAGUCCAUGCCGUAAACNAUGUCUACUAGCCGUUGGGGCCUUUGAGGCUUUAGUGGCGCANCUAACNCGAUAAGUAAACCGCCUGGGGAGUACGGUCGCAAGACUAAAACUCAAAUGAAUUGACGGGGNCCGCNCAACNGG